CCUACGGGGGGCAGCAGUGGGGAAUAUUGGACAAUGGGGGGAACCCUGAUCCAGCCAUGCCGCGUGUGUGAAGAAGGCCCUCGGGUUGUAAAGCACUUUCAGUGAGGAAGAACGCCUGGUGGUUAAUACCCAUCAGGAAAGACAUCACUCACAGAAGAAGCACCGGCUAACUCCGUGCCAGCAGCCGCGGUAAUACGGAGGGUGCGAGCGUUAAUCGGAAUUACUGGGCGUAAAGCGCGCGUAGGUGGCUUGAUAAGCCGGUUGUGAAAGCCCCGGGCUCAACCUGGGAACGGCAUCCGGAACUGUCAAGCUAGAGUGCAGGAGAGGAAGGUAGAAUUCCCGGUGUAGCGGUGAAAUGCGUAGAGAUCGGGAGGAAUACCAGUGGCGAAGGCGGCCUUCUGGACUGACACUGCCACUGAGGUGCGAAAGCGUGGGUAGCAAACAGGAUUAGAUACCCGGGUAGUC
rnacentral:rRNA from 1 species